GGUAGAGUGGCUCAGUGGUAGAAUGCUUGCCUUGCAUGCAUGAGGCCCUGGGUUCGAUUCCUCAGUACCA
rnacentral:tRNA from 1 species